UGUGAGUGUUUUUGUCUUGUCUCCUGUCAGUGUCUUGGUGUGUAUGGUCCUUUGCCUUUUUUCGAGUCUCUUUCGCGUCCUCUGUGUUUGAGUCUCUAGUCUCAAAUCUUUUCCCAUCUUCCUGGCUUCUCGUGUCUUUCCAAGUCUCCUGGUUUCUUCUGUCCAACUGAAUCUCCUGUUUACCUGAGUUUUGCUGAGUCUCCUGACAGGCGAAGCUGCAAAGCUAGAGAACUGCUCUGCUCCCGAGCACCAACAAGACUGCGGAUUGGAAUUCCGAUGUCUUGCGGUAAUUCGUCAGGUUUAUUGAAGGGCUCCGAGAUUUCUUGGUGAAGAUUUCAAGCGGAGCAGAUGCCUCUAUUCAUUUCUGUCAAAGGCUGUCUGCAAGAAGGGAACGGCCAGGACAUCGGCGAGCUAAAGCCAAAAUGACAACCUUCAUGAAGAUCUGCUUUCCAUGGAUUGGAAGAUCUCCUGCUAUAGAGGUCCAA